AUGCUGCCCGGUUCCUCUCGCGUCAAGCCCGCUGGUAGUUUUCGCUGUCGCCGUCGCUUCCUGUCGAGCAGAGGGCGCGCCUCCUUUGGAUCGAGCACCGCCGCUCCAAUGCCCGCUGCGAUGACUGGAUCGGUGCCGCUCCAGCCCGCAGCACCUGUAGUCCACCGCCGUCGCCAAGUCCCUCGCCUCGCCGCCCCUUUGCCCCGCUCGCCGAAGUUCGGCUCCUAG
rnacentral:rRNA from 1 species